CAAAAAGAUAUGCAGACAUAAUGGAAAUGGCAUUUACAUUGUAGAGCUUGGACGAAGUUCACACAGGCUCUGCGCAGGAAUUCAUCAAGGACAUGACUGCUGGGAUUACACUUGUGGAUGACCAAACUGAGCACCAUCAGUCUGCAGUGAUGUGAUCCAGCCAUCCAGUGACAUUAAGGAUGUUGAGAAAGAAAUUGAAGAGGGCAUUCUGAUUGUA